rnacentral:rRNA from 1 species
GAUGAACGCUGGCGGCGUGCUUAACACAUGCAAGUCGAACGAUGAAGCCCAGCUUGCUGGGUGGAUUAGUGGCGAACGGGUGAGUAACACGUGAGCAACCUGCCCCUGACUCUGGGAUAAGCGCUGGAAACGGCGUCUAAUACUGGAUAUGUCCCGUCACCGCAUGGUGUGCGGGUGGAAAGAUUUUUCGGUUGGGGAUGGGCUCGCGGCCUAUCAGCUUGUUGGUGAGGUAAUGGCUCACCAAGGCGUCGACGGGUAGCCGGCCUGAGAGGGUUACCGGCCACACGGGGACUGAGACACGGCCCAGACUCCUACGGGAGGCAGCAGUGGGGAAUAUUGCACAAGGGCGGAAGCCUGAUGCAGCAACGCCGCGUGAGGGAUGACGGCCUUCGGGUUGUAAACCUCUUUUAGCAGGGAAGAAGCGAAAGUGACGGUACCUGCAGAAAAAGCACCGGCUAACUACGUG